CCUACGGGGGACUGCAGUGGGGAAUAUUGGACAAUGGGGGGAACCCUGAUCCAGCGACGCCGCGUGAGUGAAGAAGUAUUUCGGUAUGUAAAGCUCUAUCAGCAGGGAAGAAAAUGACGGUACCUGACCAAGAAGCCCCGGCUAACUACGUGCCAGCAGCCGCGGUAAUACGGAGGAGGCGAGCGUUAUCCGGAUUUAUUGGGUUUAAAGGGUGCGCAGGCGGAAUGUCAAGUCAGCGGUAAAAUUUCGGGGCUCAACCCCGUCGUGCCGUUGAAACUGGCGGUCUUGAGUAAGCGAGAAGUAUGCGGAAUGCGAGGUGUAGCGGUGAAAUGCGUAGAUAUCACGCAGAACGCCGAUUGCGAAGGUAGCAUACCGGCGCUCAACUGACGCUCAUGCACGAAAGCGUGGGUAGCGAACAGGAUUAGAUACCCUAGUAGUC
rnacentral:rRNA from 1 species